CCAGGCUGGAGUGUAAUGGUGCAAUCUCGGGUCACUGCAACUUCAAGCGAUUCUCCUGCCUCAGCCUCCUGAGUAGCUGGGAUUACAGGCAUGUGCCAUUAUGCCCAGCUAAUUUUUGUACUUUUAGUAGAGACGCAGUUUCACCAUGUUGGCCAGGCUGGCCUUGAACUCCUGACCUCAAGUGAUGCAUCCACCUUGGCCUCCCAAAGGGCUGAAAUUACAGGUGUGAGCCACCUCGCACGGCCAGUUCCCUAUUUUUAUCAGUGCACUUUACCAUUUAUCUACUCAAUUCCUCACCCAUAUGCAAGGCUGCCCUUUUCUGAAGGAUGCUAGUGGUGAAUCCAUUGAAAAAUCCACUGAUUGUGUUCCCCUAGGGCCUCUUCAAGAUGGAAAGAUUCAGGUGGGGCACGGUGGCUCACACCUGUAAUCUCAGCACUUUGGGAGGCCGAGGUGGGCGGAUCACCUGAGGUCAGGAGUUCAAGACCAGCCUGGCCAACAUGACAAAAUCCGUCUCUACUAAAAAUACAAAAAUUAGCCGGGGUGGUGGCUUGUGCCUGUAAUCCCAGCUACUCAGGAGGCUGAGGGAGGAGAAUCGCUUGAACUCAGGAGGCAGAGGUUGCAGUGAGCCAAGAUUGUGCCACUACACACCAUCCUGGGUGACAGAGUGAGACUCUGUCUCAAAAAAAAAAAGCCAGGUGCAGUGGCUCACGCCUGUAAUCCUAGCACUUUGGAGACCGAGGCAGGUGGAUUGCCUGAGCUCAGGAGUUUGAGACCAGCCUGGCCAACAUGGUGAAACCCCGUCUCUACUAAAAUACAAAAAAAUUAGCUGGGCGUGGCAGCAUGUACCUGUAGUCCCAGCUACUCAGGAGGCUCAGGAAGGAGAAUUGCUAGAACCUGGGAGGUGGAGGUUGCACUGAGCCAAGAUUGCACCGCUGUACUCCAGCCUGGGUGACAGAGUGAGACUCUAUCUGGAAAAAAAAAAAAAAAAAAAAAAAAGAUUCUACAGUGAGCACAAAGGUGAAACUCACCUUGAAUGCUUUUACCAAUUGAGUGUGGAUGAACUAAUUCAGAGUAUUGCGGGCCCCUGCUGCAGCAAACACAGAGCUCCCAAAAUGCUCAGGCUAUUGGGAGGCAACUGCCUUGUCAGGGUGGCCAAUGGUUUCCCCAUUGCCAAAUCGGACAGUUAACUCCAGUCCUUGUCUGACUGGAGGCCUGCAGAUCACUGCCUCCUCUGUAACGCUCUUUACCCCCAACCCAGGGAUCCAAGAUGCCCUACUCUAGGAUCAUUUUCUCUGCCUCAUUCAUCACUCAGACUCCUUCAUUUGUUCCUUCUCUUCUCCCUCCUCUGAGUGCUGCAGAGCCCGGGUUUCCAUCCUCAGACCCCUGCCCUGCCUGCUCUCUGUCCCAAGGCAGCACUGCCAGCAUCCGAAAUAAAAAUCCAGCCCUCCUAUUCAUAGUGACAUCGAAUUUCAGAUCAACGACAAAGAGUUUUAUGGCAUAAGCAUGUCCCAAAUAUUGCAUGGCCCCAAAUAUUUACUUAGUUAAUAAGUAAAAAUUGCACAAGACAUACUUAUGCUAAAGAGUAUUGACUAUUUGUCUGAGUCCAAAUGUCUCUGGGCAUGCUGGGUUUCAUCAGGUAAUCCUGCCAUGAUUUCAGUUUCAAGGUGAUACCAUCUAUGGUGACUCUUCUGAAAAUGUUUAUCUCUAGCCUAGGUCUCUCUCCUGAACUGCAGACUCCUGCUGCCUCCAGCACAUCGCCACUUGGGUAAUGAAUAGGUGUCUCAACCUGAACAUGUCAAAAACAACACUCAUUUUUCCCCCCAAUUCCUUGCCGUUCUCACAGGUAGUCUCGUCCCCCCAGCUGCUCACCCACAAGCCUUGCACUCAGCCUUGACUCUGUUCUUCUCACACCCCAUAUCCAGUCUGCCAGGAGGUCCUUGGUCCUCCUGGGCUACACUAAUAGUGCCUCUUGCUGGUCACUGCAACCACCUCCCAUUCCUUUCCCUGCAUUGUCCUGUGCCUCACAUGGUUUUUUUCUCAACAUGCCAGCCAGAAUGACUCUUUGAAAACUUUCUCAUGCCAUGUCACUUUUCAGCCCAUCGCCCUGCAGCAGGUCCCCAUGUUACUCAGUGUAAAAGCCCAAGGUCCUUGCCCCAUCCUGCAAAGCCCCUGUGACUCUGUGGUCUCUGGAACCUUAACUCUUCCACUCUUCCUCCAGACCACUCCCUCUCCCGCAGCCUCCUGGGUGCUCCCACCAGCCAGCAUGCUCCUGCUGCGGAGCUGUGGCCCUGGCUCCUUCCUUCCUCCCGGAAUGCUCUUGGCUCCGGUGUGCAUCAUGGAGAUAGCUCCUGUCUGCCCCCAAAUCGCUGCUCAAACCUCACCUCAGUGAGGCCGGCGCUGACCUCAUCACUGACCUAUUCACCUUCCAAACUGCUCACCUCCCAGGACUCUGAUACUCCUUCCCAACUCUUUUUCAUUCUUCCAUAAAUAACAAUGUCUAACUUAUUAGGCAAUUUCUUCAUUAUAAUUGUCCUUUGUUUUCAGUCUCUUCUCACUAGAAAGGAAAGUCCAUAAUGCCCAGAAUCUUUGUUGGGUUCCCUGAAGAAUGCCAGGCUCCCGGAAGAGGGCCUGCCUCCCAGCAGGCACAUGUGUGUGGAAUGAAUGAAUGAAUGAAUGAAUGAGGCUUGUGCAAACUAACUGCUUGCAGGAAACACCUGCUCCUUCCUGGGCACUGGGUGAAAUCUUUCGUAGAAGUUAACCAUUGACUCUUCUCCCCACCAGCCUCCUCCGUCCCUCACAGUUAAAUGCAGCUGGAAGAGGGGUUGCCCUGUACCUCCAGCUAGGUGGACUCCCCAGGAAAGAGUGACAUCUCACCACUGAGCCACCUCAGCCUUUUCCAGAGACAAGCCUUCUCUAGGCCAAUCAUCAGUGUCACAGCUAUUUGUUCUUGGGAUUUGUGGCUCUAUAUUCACAUGUAAGAAGCCAAGGCACCCAUGGGGAGCCACAGGCACCAACAGAAUACACUGAAAUCAAUCUUGCUGCGACUGGGGCUACAAGCAUGGUUACUUGGCUCACCACAGGGUCUUACUUUGUCACCUAGGCUGGAGUGCUGUGGCAUGAACACAGCUCACUGCAGCCCCGACCUCCAGGGCUCAGGUAUCCUCCUGCCUCGGUCCCCCAAGUAGCUGGGACUACAGGUGUGCACCACCAUGGUUGGCUAAUUUUUGUGUUUUCUGUAAAGACAGGGUUUUGCCAUGUUGCCCAGGCUGGUACAAAUAUAGCUUUAGUUUUCUGUUUGUAAAAGUAAUGCAUGCUUACGAAAAUUGUUCUUAAAAAAAUCACAUAGGCCGGGCGCGGUGGCUCACGCCUGUAAUCCCAGCACUUUGGGAGGCCGAGGAGGGCGGAUCACGAGGUCAGGAGAUCGAGACUAUCCUGGCUAACACGGUGAAACCCCGUCUCUACUAAAAAUACAAAAAAUUAGCCGGGCGUGGUGGCGGGCGCCUGUAGUCCCAGCUACUGGGGAGGCUGCGGCGGGAGAAUGGCGUGAACCCAGGAGGUGGAGCUUGCAGUGAGCCGAGAUCGCGCCACUGCACUCCAGCCUGGGCGACAGCGAGACUCCGUCUCAAAAAAAAAAAAAAAAAAAAAAAAAAUCACAUACCAUGCAAUGACAGUAAAAAUCAUCCCAAGUUUCAUACCACUUGAACUAAUGUGCUCUAUUGUCACUUGGCUAUGAAGAAUACAAGUGCUAGGUUUCAGUAUUGGCAUCGUAUUACCUUGUCUUUUAAAAUCAGGUUGUGAAACUGGUAUCUUUUUCAAUUUGUUGCCAAUCAGUUAUGCGUUAAUUGAUUUGAAUUCAGUUCCUUCUGUUGUGGUAGAUUUGCUUCUGUAUCGUAUGAUUUCAAGUUGCUCAUUGCCUGAAUUCAGGACAGGGUAGUGGGUGGCUUUCUGGGGCCAUCUCAGGCGGGCUGAAUUGACCUGAAGAUGGCAAUAAGAGAAAAAAGCCAAGUAAAUAUCAAGAACAAUUUUUAGCAUAAAAUUCAGUGUUAAGAUUCAUUGAGAGCUAAUCAAUAGAAACGAAGGUUCUGUAAAUACAUCCAUCUUAUGGGAAUAACUUAGGUCAUAACCAUUGUUGGCAAAGGAGGAAAUUUUUCUUAGUUCCUCUGCACUUUCCCCAAUGAUAUUAAUGUUACACCUCUUUGAUCGUACUUGAAAUGAUUGUAAUAAUAACGAGAGCCGUAAGAGUUUGUUGGUCAUAAAAACAUACAACAUUUUAAGAACUUUAUUGGGUUUUUAUUGACAUAUAUAACUAUUAAAUAUAAGAUUAUAGACCCCAAAUAUCAAAUUAACUUUAGCAUUUACAAUUUUCCUUUGUCUCCUCUAAGCAGCCACAAUUUCCAAUGUAGCACAUAAUGAGGUCAUCAUAGUUGCAAAUCUAUAUCUUCAUAUUGUAUAACUUGAGAACAUUUUUAAACUCAGUGUAUAGGUUUGUGUGGAUGUUGUAUCAAUGUUCACAACACGAGGCAAGUGGAAAUAAAGCAAAAAUACUGUUAAUGUGUAAUAACAUUGUGCUAACAGAAUGGGCAAUUUGUAACAAUGCCAUCAGUGACUCCACUAUCUAGCACAACAGUUAAUACAUAGUGUGUAAGUUCACAUUUCAGAUAAGUGAUAGUUAUCAUUUUAAGUACCAAAACUUAGGUUUAAAGAAGUUUCUGAGAUAUGCAGAAUUCUACCUCUCACUGGGCUUUGAAAAUAUGUUACUCCUCAGGACUCACCGUGUCGUAAGCAUCACUGAUUAUUGUUUAUGUCUGUUCUAAAUUGCAGAAACAGUUUCAGAAACCUAGGUUAUUUGGUUUUUAGUCCUAAUCUUGUUACUGUAAAAGUCACACGUGUUCAUCCAUUGUAGAAAGUUCUCCAAAGUGCAAUCACAUAUAAAGAAGCAAAUAAAAAUCAUCCUCAAUCUCACUCUCCAGAAGUAAUGAUUAUUAACAGUUUCAUGAUCUUCAUCACACUGCAUUAAGUUUCCCAGAGCUGCCAUCACAAAUUAGCACAAACUGUGUGACUUAAAACAACAGAAAUUUAUUCUCUUACAGUUCACGAGGCCAGGAAUCUAAAAUUAAGGCAUCAGCAGGGUUGGGUCCUUCUGGAGGCUCUCAGAGAGUCUGUUCCAUGCGUCUCUCCUGGUUUCUGGUGUUUGCCAGCAAUCUUUGAUUCAUAGACACAUCAUUCCCAUCUCUACCUCCGCCAUCACAUGGCCUUAUUCUAUGUGUGUGUCUUUCUGCAUCCUCUCCUCUUUUUAUAAGGACACCAGGUAUUGGGUCUAUAGCCCAUCCUAAUCCAGAAUGACUUCGUCUCAGCUGAUUAACAUCUGCAAAGACUCUGUUUCUAAACAAAUUCAUAUUGUGAGGUUCUGGGUGAACAUGAAUUUGUGGGGGACACUGGGGGACACUUAUUCAACCCACUACACACACUGUAAUAUAUAUUUAUAGAAUCACGAAAACGGGACCAUAAUUUAUAUAAAGCUUAGUUCCCUUUACACUUAAGAUACCAUGAAUUUCCCUAGGUCUUUCAAACACAGAAUUUUAAUUUUUUGUAGAGUGUUUCAUCAUAUGAAGAUUACAUCAUUUCCAUAGCUAACCUGCUACUUCAAACACUCAGAUGGUUUCCAGACUUUACUAUUAUAAAUGGCUCUGAUGAAUAUACAUGUUCCCAAAUCUUUGAAUUUAUCUCUGCUUAUGUCCUUGGUAUAAAUUAUUCUGAGUCGAAUUAUUGGAUUAAGGGGUAUGAACAUUUUAAAGGCUCAUGAAAAAUCUUCUUUAAUUGAAUUCCAGAGAUUGUAUCAAUUUGCCAUCACCAGCAGAAGAGAGAACCCAUGGCAUUGCAUUCUCUGCACUGCACGUUCUAGCUUUUUGAGUGUUGGACAAGUGACUAGGCAAAGAAAUAACAUCCUUACUUUGUGACUUGUAUUUUUAUGUAAGGUUGCCUCUUUGUUUACGGACCACUUAUAUAUCUUUUUUAGGUUACCAAUUUAUGAUUUGUGUCUCCUUUUCAAUUUUUUUCUCCUCUCUCCAACUGCCAGUAUUUAUUUCUUACCAUCUCACGGAUGAGUAUACUGUCCACCUCCACCCCUUUUAGAGUCCACUGUUAGCUAAGAAACUAUGUAGAUGUAUCCUCCCUCUCCUUUUCCCAUUCUCGAACCACCUCUGAAUCUUGUACAAAUGUCAAUCAUUGCCUCCAUUGUGUCUUAACUGUUUACAUUUCGCUUUCCCUUCUAAGACUUUGAGCACUUUGGGGCCAUUUCCAUGUCUUAUCUGUGUUUUUGUAUCUUCAGCAACUAACAUGGAUGCUCAAUAAACAUACAUUGAACUGAGUUGUUACGUUGUGACCUGGAAAUAUUCACAAUUCCUUGUAUAGAUAGAAAUAGCUAAAUAAGGGCACAUAAGGAUAGACUCUAAAUGGCACUCAAUAAUGUGCAUAGGGCUGGGCGUGGUGACUCCCUGCCUGUAAUCACAGCACUUUGGGAGGUGGAGGUGGAUCACCUGAGGUCAGGAGUUAGAGACCAGCCUGGGCAACAUGGUGAAACUUCGUCUCAACCAAAAACACAAAAAAUCAGCUGGGUGUGGUAGUGUAUGUCUGUAAUCCCAGCUAUUUGGGAGGCUGCAGCACGAGAAUUGCUUGAACACAGGAGGUGGAGGUUGCAGUGAGCUGAGAUCGUAUCAUUGCACUCCAGCCUGGGCAACAGAGCAAGACUCUGUCUCAAAAAAAAAAGCAUAGGAUUUAAUCCAUGAAUUUUGAAUUUCUAUGUUAAAUUUUUAGAAAUAGUAACUUUUUCUCCCAUAUUUCUCAGCUAUAUCUGAGAUAACUGGGACUGAGCAACAUUGUCUAGACAGGCAAAGUGUUAGCAAUAAUAAGUAUAAUAAUAAUUGUAAUGUAAUAAUGGAAUGAGGAUGUUAAAGUACUGAGAUCAGGAUAAAAGUUACAAUUGUCCAAAUUUUAAAUUUCCUAUCAUUUCCACUGAAAUCACUGACUGUACUUAUAACAUUAUCAGGAAUUUAUGCAAUUUGUAGGUUUUGAAAUAAAUUACCAUUCAGAAUUCAACCGUGAAAAACAGUGUAACUCUACUUGAAAAACACUUUGAAAAACUCAAGUUUCCACCAAAUCUAGAAGCACAUGGGUCGUAAAACAUAGUUCGAAAAGUUACGAGAGAUGAUGACUACAAGGAACUUUUUAUAAAAAUCUUUUAUAAGCAUUACUCUGUGGUCAAAUUUAUUUUCACAUGGAUAUUAAAACAAGUUAUUGCUAC
rnacentral:lncRNA from 1 species